AGCAUAUAGAUUAGGGCUUAAAACCCUAAUCACUACUCCAUGUUGGGGCGCCCAUACAAUAGAAAUUGUACGCUUAAAAGAAGCAAAAAUUUGCAUUAUUGCGAGAGAACGUACAAAAAUUUAUAUUAUUUUUAUUAAAAAAUCAAAAAAAAAAAAAAAAGCAAAUAACGAAGAAAUGGAGGAGAAAGAAGAGAGUAAUAGACACUCAUCUUGUCUCUCUGUUCUUCUGUCCCUCGUGCCCCAUCUCUCUUGCUGCUCCUCCACGUCCGCUUCUGCAGUCUGGCCGCCGGCGUUGCCACCCGCCUCCCCCUGUUAUAUUUCCUCUGCUGCCUCCUCUCUCUUUCUCUCUCCUCCGUUUUCUUACUGCAAUUUCGACGAUCUUUUUCUGCUACUCGUUUUUCGCCGCCGCCGGCGUACAAUUCCGGCUUAAUAUUUCUCCUCGUAAGUCGUCGAUUUCACUUUCCUCCAGUUCGGCCCGGUCCGAACAAUAUAGAGGGAAUCAAGCUUAUGUAUCUGGUGUAACUGACUGAUCGAAAGUGAAGUUCUAUUCGUCCUCAAAUGUUGAAAACUAGUAAAGCAUGGAGAAUCAUACCACGGCCAUUACUAGAAACUGUCCUCAAUAACCAUGUCCAACAUCACCGUGUUAACCAGCCUCUUAUUCUCCAUGGUCCUCGAGGCGUUGGCAAAACCACCGUCAUACUUGAACGUCUUAUGGAGAACUGGAACAAGGGGCCACACCUCACAGGUUAUGUCGAUUUUGCUCAAUCGAUCAAGGAACACCAUCCUUCUCACAAUGCCUCUUUUCCUUGGAGUUCAUGGUACUCCUGCUCUUCCCCCCCUCCUCCUCUGUCUCUUCUGAAAUCACACCUGGAUAAAUGCCUCGAAUCCAUGGCUGAAAGGGGGAUUCAGCUGGGUCAAAUCACUUCCCACCAAAUCUUCACUACCCUCAAUAAAUGGCAUGGUCUUAGCCACACCCUUCGCCACAUUUUGCAGUCUUCAAAUCCGAGUUCGAAAAUAGGGGCUCUUUCAAGUAAGGCUUCCGCCUCUGUGUUGUGGGAUAGGGCAGUUUUUGCCUAUUCUGCUCGGUUGAACACUAAGGAGAUUGAGGGGCUAGUUGGGUUGGACGGUGAUAAGAAGGGGAUGACAGUCGAUGAGAGGUCUUAUUUGAAAGAAGCUGUGAUUGCAUUGAGAUUGGCGAAAGAGGUUAUAAGUGUUCAGCAACAAUGGAGAUCUAAUGCUAUUGCUGAUCUGAAUAAGACUGGUGGGAUUUCGAGAUCUCUGAUGAGUUCGGUUACUGACUGGCCAUAUUUGUUGCUAGAGUUGUUGUCUUCAGCUUCUGAAAUUGAUCAUUUUCAGCCAAAGCUUGUGAUUAACAAUAUAGAGGUCCUAAAGAAUGCAGUUUCAACAGAUGAUUCUACAGUGUGCGGACCAAGUUACCAUGAUAGUUUAAUAUGGAGAAUGAUUUCUUUGGGGGCGAAUGAGAUGUGUCUUCCUAUCAUUCUUGUGACAUCUGAUAGCUACUAUUCAUAUCGUGCCUACAUCGAUUUCGGGUUCCCAGACAUUUUUAUAUCUCGUGAGACCUUUGGUUGGACUUCCAAUGAAGGCAAAUUACAUAUGGUGCCUGACUACUUCAGUGCCUCCGAGUGGACAAUAGUUACUGAAGUGCUCGGUGCAAACUCACGGCAUCUGUUUGAACUUCAUGCACUCAAAGAAAGCGAUCAAUAUCUCAACAUGAUGGAUCAUAGACGUAGCACCUUUGAGGAUAUAGUAGAUGCUUAUUUGGCAUAUCUGCAGAUAACUGUGGUGAACCCAGCGAUGGAGAAAGCUUUGUCACUUCUGCAACAAUUUGCUCUUGAUGCACACAAUGGAAAGAUACCGAAGGAUAAAUUACGUUUUGGGGCUCCCUGGAGGCAUCCUCCACGCAUAGAUGACCCUAUUCGUCGGUUGGAGUGGGCUAAGGUUCAGCUGAUGGAUUUUGUGCAGUCAUUGGUCAAUGCUGAAUUUGGGCUUAACUAUUUUGCUGAUUGCAGUCUUGAAAUCUUUGAUGAUCCUUCAGCUGUAGCAUUGUUAGAGGUAGGUGUGCUCUAUGCUCAGCGGGAUCCAUCCUUCAUUCGUCCAGUAUCUCGUGGUAUGCAGAGAUGUCUCGUGAGAUGGCUUGUCCAGGAACAGUUGCAGUUGAACUGGUUCACCUCUCUGCGUUUUCAAUGGCAAAGAGCUAUCCGAGGUCGCUUCUAUCGGCAUUUGAUGCUGCAAAUUGGCUAUAAAUACUAGAUUUUACAAGAGCUCGAGGAGCUGUCUUGAGGGUCCGAUUGCUGGUUCAAUUGCUGCCUUUGAGAGAGAAAUGUAUAUGACAGAUUGACUGGAUAACUUGCUGAAUAUGAGGCUGAUCAUAGCUGUACGAAAACUGGUGUUUUUCUUAAGUUCCUCUCUUCUAAGCUAUGGUCCAUUAUCUAAACGGUAUUCCCGAGUUUUAACAUUGGAAGAAGAGGUGAGCAAAAGGAAUUGGUGACCUGGAUUCAGAUCUAGAACCGCCUGGGACCUGCCAAGCCCACACUCAUGAACCGAUUUUAGCAGGGGAAUCAAGCGAUUUAAGUCCCGAAUCCCGAGUAUUUGGAGUCGAAACUGACUAGGUAUCCGGGGUUCAAUUAUGCUUACCCAAAAGCAGAACUGAAAUCAGCACAAACCCUAAUUUCUCGAUGCUCGGUACUGCCAUAAUUAGAAUGGUGCUAAGCAUUGGCACCCAAGCCAGAGGUCGAAACUAGAAACAUUUGCUCAAAUCCUGUCAUAUAUUUGUAUAUUGCUAUUGGUGGUAUUAUAUUUAAUGUUAUGUCGAUUUCCUAUAAAUUUUUUAUGGCUUGCCAUAUUAAUAGAAUGGCUGGGAUCAAGUACUUUAAUAUCUUCCACUAUGAGGUAAUUAUGAGAACUCUUUGAUGAAAUUGAUGAUAAUAAAAGCAAAUACUUGUAGUCAA